GCCACAUGUCAAUUUUUUAAGGCCUCUUAUUAAGCGAGGUGGCACACUCUUGUAAAGCCACUUUUAAGGCUUGGCUUUAAUAUAUAUAUAUAUAAAAAACAAAAAGUCAAACCAAUUUAUCACAUAUACAAUUAAACCAUUUUGUCUCCAUGUCAUAAUAAGGCUCAUUAUUGAAAAAAUUAUAGUAAAAUUUUAAAAGGAAAUAAAGUUUUGAAUGAACAACAUGAUUUUGUCUCUACUAAUUUUAAAUUUUAUCAAAAAAAUGGUUUAAUAAUUAAAUUUAUGAGGAGUCAACACACAUACACACACAAAAAGAACAUUUAAAAAUAAAGGGGUCAAUUGACCCCCUAUUUUUUACUCUCCAUACACCAUUGAUUAAGCGGCACGGACUAAUUUAUUAACGAAAUUUAAAUUUGAGAAUCAAAUUGCUACUAAAAAACAAACCAAGGACUAAACUAUUGGUUUUGCUAUACCUUAAGGAUUUAGUUGUAAUUUACCUUUUCUUUGGUAACAUUUGACUAUAAGAGGUAACCAAAAAAAAAAUCUUUGAAAUUCAACUAUGUCCUUCCUUUCUGUACUGAGUAUAUCAAAUUACAAACCUCUUCCACUAUAGACACAAUAAACAACAUUUAAAAGAAUCUGGAACUUGCAAAUUGUCCCCCACGGUAUGCCUUUCACACUACACAACUAAACCUUAAGUUUAUAUAUCACAUAAGCACAAAAUUGCACAAUCAACAGGAAAGUGAUACACAUGCGUUAAGGAACAAGUGAAGAGGAGUUUCCUUGCUUGGCACCUCAACUGCAUAAAAAGGACACUCGUUUGGCCAAAUAUCAUCUCAACUUCCUCCUUAACAAAUCUUCAAUGUCAAAUUUGGAAAUAAUGCAAAAAUUCUAUAGAAUUAAGCUUGAAAAACAACAAGAAGGUAGGGCCAAACUCCACCUUCCCUACUCUAUCUCUCUCCCUCGCCGUUUAUAAAAACAACCUCUUCUCUCUUUAUUUCUUAGGUUCUACGCCUUCCUUUCUCUUACCUUCACCAUAUCCUCCCUUAAGAUUCAGAAGAGUAAAGAAUAAGACUAGAGAAGAAACAAGAUGAGACCCGUUAGAAUCCUUAGCUCCAUCACAAUAGCAAAUUCCUCACUUACCUCCUACCAUCAUGCAACAUCCUCGCCAUGGUACUCUUUGGUGCCAUACCUCUCUUGAGAUUUGUAUCAUGUUAGCAAAACUAUUGGAGGUAUUCCCAAUCAUCAUAUUAAAGUAAGGAACUUUUAGAGUUUCAAUAAAUAAAGAGCAAAGCUCAUUGUCGGUGACUAACAGAUGAACCUUAACAGCUUUGUCUCUUCACCUUUGAGCAUGCUCUUUAAAGCUUUCUCCUUUUAGUGAGAGGUUUUGAAGGUCUCUCCUUGUUAGUGCUACAUCACAAUUGAAAUUUCAAGAUUUUGCAUUGGUAUUCUAAUUGGUGAAAAUGAAUGAAUAAUGAUACCUCCAUGGGAUCUAUCCUCAUCAGGGUUAAGUGAAAAGUCAUGUGUGUUGUAUGAACAAGUAUCACAUACAUGUACAUGACCCUAUCAAUCAUUAUAUGGUUCAACUAUUGGAUGAUACCAUUAUGUUAAUGAUUCAAAUUACCCGUUUACAAACAAUGACAUAACAGCUAAGCUGUCAUCAUAUCCUUCUAUCAAAAUGGAUAAAACCAAACAAAAAUAAUAAAAUGAAAAAAUAAUUUGAACUAGCACAUGCAUGUUUUUGUAGGAAAAUUUUCAAUAUUGCUAGACUUAAAGGAAAUCCGAUAAAACAAUCUAGUAUCCAAUCAAGAAUUUAUUUGACCUGUGCUCAUGCUAGAAGAGUAAGAAUGGAGAAUCAAUAACAAGUUCUGGGAUUAUAAGGGCAAGUAGAUAAAUUAUGGGGGCACAUGGUUGAAUUACAAAGGGUGAUAAAAGGGUUCCAAAAAAGCACCCGCAAGUCCUAAGCAAGAGAAGCCAAAGAAUCUCGCUCAAACUGUUGGAUCAGCUACCUAAAACAAUCUAACACUAUCUUCGACCUAUGUACCCAUACCAGUAACUUCUGAGCAUAUAGGAACCUCCAUUAUCUUCCAAACCCCUCACAGGUCACUUUAAAUGCCUCUACACCUUUUGUUAGCGAUACUAUGGCCCAUGCGUUUCCUCCACAGCAUACCCUUUCACAUAUCAAAGUGUUCCGGUUGACCCUUAUAUAGUGCCCAUCACCCACACCAAUUCUCAAGCCCCUCAGUCCAUUAACUCUCAACACCCAAUAGUGAAUGAAAUGAAGGAAAGACGAAAAGCGAGAAGAUCUCCUCCAUUGAAGAACACUUAACAACCAUUAAGGGUUUAAACAUGUAUGGUUCAGUUGAUGUGACAUCUCUGUUACUGGUUCUGGAUUUAGUCAUUCCAAAGAAAUUCAAGGUACCUGACUUUGAUAAAUAUAAUGAAACCUUAGACCCUCAAAUACAUCUAAAGACAAUAUGCCAGCACUGACUGAGAAUGAUAAGUUGUUGAUUCACUUUUUCCAUGAAAAGCUCAUUGGACCAGCCUUAUUACUAUUUUAAAUAUAUAAAUGGUUUAAAGAUAUUUAUUUAAAUAAAAUAUUAA
rnacentral:misc_RNA from 1 species